rnacentral:rRNA from 1 species
GACGAACGCUGGCGGCGCGCUUAACACAUGCAAGUCGAGCGAAGCGGCGGACGGGUGAGUAACACGUGAGUAACCUGCCUUAGACAUUGGGAUAGCCUCGGGAAACCGGGAUUAAUACCAAAUGGUCUAAGAUGGACUCGCGUCCCAUUAGCUAGUUGGUGGGUAACGGCCCACCAAGGCGACGAGGGGAAGCCGGCCUGGGAGAGUGGACCGCCACAUUAGAACUGAGAAACGGUCCGAACUCUACGAGAGGCAGCAGUGGGGAAUAAUGAACGAUGGAGGGGACUCUGAUGCAGCGACGCCGCGAGAACGAAGUAGGCUGUCGAGUCGUAAAGUUGUUUUAUAUGGGAAGCGGUACCAUAAGAAAAAGCCCCGGCUAACUACGUGCCAGCCGCCGCGGUAAUAC